UAAUAUGGUAUUUGUGAUCCUAUUUUUCCCUUGACCUCCCCUAAUAGUGGGGCUUGGUGGCAUGAUGACUCUCUAUGCCCUGCUUCAUUCCCUGGGUUCUUUCUUCAAGAAAUCUGCCUGAGAAGAAGAGCAGCCUGGCCAGAAACUGACCAUAUGGAGAAGCCAAAAGAGGGAUCUCCAUUCAGUGUCACAUACUCUGGAAGGUGAACCCUUUGUGAAGUCCAUCCCACCUCUGAGGAUAUUAUCAACACUUACAGCUGUCAGAUGCAUUUGUCUUUGUGUCCUUCAAUCCCCCUCCCAAUCUGGAAUGAACUACUCUGAAGACAAAUACCGCAUCAUUAGUGCUCGUAAAAUAAUAAAUGAUUGCUGGAUUUAAUUUAA